rnacentral:lncRNA from 1 species
UUUCCAUCUUCACGGGCAACUACCCUGCCCUUUUUUUUCCUUAAAUCCCAAGAAAUCUACUUCCUCUCUCCCACCCACGACCUCCCCUCUCCCUCUUCUUUUGUUUUCUAACCGAUUACAGAACAACACUCCAUUUUCGCUCUCAUUCCACUCUUUUCCGUCUAAAAAAUUGGCUUAAUAAAAAUCCCCUCUUCCUCCGUGUGCUCAGUUUGAUUUUUUUAGGGUUUCAGUGUGAAUAAUAACUACCAGGAGAAGGGUGAUUAUUGUUGUAUGGUGGUGACAUUUCCUUGCUUCAUUCGGUGAAUCCUUCGCUGGCCAUUGGUGCACUCAUUAGAUCUUCCAGCAGGGGUGAAACGCGCAACCAAUUUGUAAGAGUCUCUCAAGGUACUCGCAACCAUAGAUUCAUUUGUCGGGUGAUCUUGGUUUCCCAUGGAUUGUUAUGAAGCAUCUAACCCUCUGUUUUCCAUGCUUUUUUGCUUUUAAUGUUUUACCUGGGCAAUGUAUAUUUGCUGAUGUGUAUGGGUUUUUGGGAUUUAUGAAACUGAAGAAGACAUGUAAUGUAGUUUUGAUGAAGUGCUGACCUCUCUGUCUAUAUAGUUAGUAUCCUACAAGUCAGAUGCUGAUUUUUAUUUACGAUUAGCAGUACAUACCAACUUUGGCUGGACGGACACUUCUCGGAACAUGAAAUCCUUCUCAUGACUAUUAUUAUGCAGCAAAAAGAAGGCCUUUGGAGCUGUCCUCUUUGAACUACUGGGUAAGCUCUCAAUUCUUUCGGCAUGAACAAUGAUUUUAAUUGUAAGCUUUAUAACUAUUACCAUUUCUAUUCAAAUGGUCAAUGUACAUCUCCUAAUGUUGUCAAGGGAGUACAUUGACAACUAAGUUAAGUUUUUCCAGCGAUAUUGACUGAUAAUAACUAACAAAUUACAAUUCUACUUGAUGCAUUAGUUUAGUGUUCCAUCAGGGCUGCUGCUGCAAUAGUUCAAAUUUUCAUCCGGGCUGUUACUGCCUCAAUUUAUUGUUCCAUCUAUCUUUCUCAUUAGAUGUCUUGCCUCUAUCUCUGUGGAUGUUACUCCAAAUAAAUUCCCGAACACUCUCCGCCAUUCAAAUGGAUGUAAUCGGCUAAGCAAAAUCGCCAAUUAUAGUUUUCUUUUAAAUAUUCUUGUUUCUCCUUUGGGUGAUGGGAUGUUAAAAAUUGAUGUCAUUGUCUGCUGUUCAUGAGCAUGAGUUAUAUUUUAAUACUUUUGUUCACCAUGACAGGAUUAUAUAACAUCCCUUGACCCUUGUAACCACUGACCUAGCAAAUAAUGUAAUUUUAAAACACACAAUCGUGGAGAGAGAGCACAGGUAUUUUCAGACUGAAUAUCAAUGUUAUGAAGCUCUGUAGAAUUUCGUAUCCGACACUACUUAGCUUGAGUUUCCAAUGUUCUCUGUUUGAGCUUCUGUUUUAAUCAAUGGAGAUGCCUUCUUAAUUGUCUGUCAUUUUCAUCUCCUUAAUUUUAAACAUUUUGUUUGGGUUUGCUUGGCUUGCUCAGCUUCUGGUUUAUUUUUCUUUUCUGUUUCCUCCACACUUGGGUGAAAACUAACUCUACUAUUAGAUACUCUAUUUGGUCUCAAUCAAUUUGCCCCUUUGCUUUCAUUAUAGUGUUUAGUUUCUCACCUUUUUAAUUGAAUAAAGGCCAUGUAGAAUGCAAGACACAGUAAAUCAUGACACUUACUCUAUCUGUUUUCCGUAUGAAUUGCAAUGACAGGUUGCUUUCCUGAAUAAGCGAAGAGGAUGCAUUCGGUUAGCCAUAGAGACGGGUAUAAGUUGCCGAUGGAUUUAUGUUCUCCAAGCUGUCAGUUAUGUCCUAUCAGAGAAAGUGAGGUAUGAACUAAUAUUUUGUUGCACGGUAUGAACUAUAGUUCAUUAAUGGGCGGUGUUAUACACCAAAUAGCAUUAAUCAUGUACUUAUUUUUACCAUUCAAAAUAUGUCUUCAAACUAAUUAGUAAGGUGGAUCGCGGUAGGUGUAUGAAACAAAAUAAAAUACAGGGGUAUGUAGGGUGUCCAUUCUGAGUUUAAUAUUCGCAUUGAAGUAUCUGUCAUGUUAACAGACGUAAACAUGCCUAAUUAUUAGACUGCGGUUACUUGGCAAGGAAUAAAAAAUAGCUCAUUGGGAUGAAAGGUCUGUCAUUCACAAGUAUAUGAAUUAAAAAAUUAUUUUUGGUCCAUCCAGAUGAAUUGCAUUUAAGUUAAAAUAUAAAAUAUGAUUUCUUCUCCCAAUAAAAACAAAUUAUUCUUCUUAUGUAUNNN